rnacentral:sRNA from 1 species
GCUGGGUGUGGUGGUGCACACCUAUAAUCCCAGUGUCUCAGGAGGCUAAAACAGGAGGAUUGCGAGUUCAAAGCCAGCCUCAGCAACAGUGAGGCGCUAAGCAACUCAGUGAGACCCUGUCUCUA